rnacentral:misc_RNA from 1 species
AGUCAGUUCGAUUUGAACAGCGAAACAAGCGGUUUCGAAACGAAAAGGAAAGAAGUUAUCUGUGAGCCUUUACUUUGAAGCGAAGAAGCAUAAAGUUGCUGUGAGCCUAUAUUGUGAAAUAUCAAAUACUACAAUGCCUAGACGUAAAAUAGGAGAAGAUCUUGCCAGUUCUGCAGCGAAACGGCGGAAAUAAAAGAAUAUCGAAGAAAUGAAACGGAAGAAGAGCACGAAGCACGUUUACAAAAUCAACGAACCAGAAUGAGCACCCUGAGAAGCAGAAAAAGCGAAGAAAGAAAAUAAAAUAAAAUAAAAGUAUUGAAGAAUCGAGAAUUUAAAAAUUUAUAUAUAUAUACCCCGGACAAUACAAUAAAAAAAUGUUGUUUAUAAACAAGUAGUGUAAAUAAUGAGAAAAUGUU